AUCCAACUGAUGAGUCCAAAAUAGGGCGAAACUUGCUUUCUGGAU
rnacentral:hammerhead_ribozyme from 1 species